rnacentral:rRNA from 1 species
AUGAACGCUGGCGGCGUGCCUAAUACAUGCAAGUCGAGCGAACGGACGAGAAGCUUGCUUUUCUGAUGUUAGCGGCGGACGGGUGAGUAACACGUGGAUAACCUACCUAUAAGACUGGGAUAACUUCGGGAAACCGGAGCUAAUACCGGAUAAUAUUUUGAACCGCAUGGUUCAAAAGUGAAAGACGGUCUUGCUGUCACUUAUAGAUGGAUCCGCGCUGCAUUAGCUAGUUGGUAAGGUAACGGCUUACCAAGGCAACGAUGCAUAGCCGACCUGAGAGGGUGAUCGGCCACACUGGGACUGAGACACGGUCCAGACUCCUACGGGAGGCAGCAGUAGGGAAUCUUCCGCAAUGGGCGAAAGCCUGACGGAGCAACGCCGCGUGAGUGAUGAAGGUCUUCGGAUCGUAAAACUCUGUUAUUAGGGAAGAACAUAUGUGUAAGUAACUGUGCACAUCUUGACGGUACCUAAUCAGAAAGCCACGGCUAACUACGUG